AUCGACAUGCCGCCGACAAAGGAACACGCGUACAAACACUCAUACAGCCGUUCCUACUCGAACAAUGGUAUGUCCAUGUCGGCAAGAGUGUACCAGCCAGCUACCAAUCUGAUGCCGCCGACGCCUCCGCCGUCCCCCACCAAAAUCACCCCCCCAUUCGCCAGCAGACCACCAGCGUUCGCAGCGGACAAAACAGCCAGGACAGUGGAGAAUACUCAUUGAACAGUGUUCUAAACCACACACUAUGUACUAAGUGUUCAAUUUAGACUGAUGAUGAUAACAAUCGCGAUUGAUAAGCAAAUAGGCUUUACGUUUAUCGUUGCAUUUGUUAUCAGUUAGUUACCUUAAGCAUAAGCCUCGGUCUCGUAUCCCGUGGGUUCUGUACAAACCUGUAUAGUUAUGACGUAUUUAAACUCAACUGUAAAAAAAAAGGAAUUAUUCUACGCCAAAUAAAUUUUAACGAAUCCUCAAUUAGUGUAAUAUUUUUAAUGUGUUUACGGAUGUGUGUGUUGAUUGAAUAAUUAUAAAAAAAAAAAAAAAUUGUUACUAUAAACAUUUCCUGUUACAAGUGGUACGGUUUUGGUUGGUAAUUUGCUCUCGUCCGUCACCGUCUCCUCGUGUCGUGUGAUGACUGUUGUUGAAACGUAUUAUGUACACAAAUAGCUCAACCUGUGUGCUAUACUGUAUAUUACAUGACAAUAAAAUAAGAGAUUAAAUUAAAAAAAAAUAC